rnacentral:rRNA from 1 species
UGGGGAAUUUUGGACAAUGGGGGCAACCCUGAUCCAGCCAUCCCGCGUGUGCGAUGAAGGCCUUCGGGUUGUAAAGCACUUUUGGCAGGGAAGAAACAGCCUGGGAUAAUACCCCGGGCGACUGACGGUACCUGCAGAAUAAGCACCGGCUAACUACGUGCCAGCAGCCGCGGUAAUACGUAGGGUGCAAGCGUUAAUCGGAAUUACUGGGCGUAAAGCGGUGCGCAGGCGGUUCGGAAAGAAAGGUGUGAAAUCCCAGGGCUUAACCUUGGGAACUGCACUUUUAACUACCGAGCUAGAGUACGUCAGAGGGGGGUAGAAGUUCCACGUGUAGCAGUGAAAAUGCGUAGAGAUGUGGAGGAAUACCGAUGGCGAAGGCAGCCCCCUGGGAUGAUACUGACGCUCAUGCACGAAAGCGUGGGGGAGCAAAACAGGAUUAGAUACCCUGGUAGUCCACGCCCUAAACGAUGUCAACU